GUUCGGUCCCUAUCUGCCGUGGGCGCUGGAGAAUUGAGGGGGGCUGCUCCUAGUACGAGAGGACCGGAGUGGACGCAUCACUGGUGUUCGGGUUGUCAUGCCAAUGGCACUGCCCGGUAGCUAAAUGCGGAAGAGAUAAGUGCUGAAAGCAUCUAAGCACGAAACUUGCCCCGAGAUGAGUUCUCCCUGAGACUUUAAGUCUCCUGAAGGAACGUUGAAGACGACGACGUUGAUAGGCCGGGUGUGUAAGCGCAGCGAUGCGUUGAGCUAACCGGUACUAAUGAACCGUGAGGCUUAACCUUACAACGCCGAAG
rnacentral:rRNA from 1 species